rnacentral:rRNA from 1 species
AACGAACGCUGGCGGCAUGCCUAACACAUGCAAGUCGAACGAGACCUUCGGGUCUAGUGGCGCACGGGUGCGUAACGCGUGGGAACCUGCCCUUAGGUUCGGAAUAACUCCCCGAAAGGGGUGCUAAUACCGGAUAAUGUCUUCGGACCAAAGAUUUAUCGCCUUUGGAUGGGCCCGCGUUGGAUUAGCUAGUUGGUAGGGUAAAAGCCUACCAAGGCGACGAUCCAUAGCUGGUCUGAGAGGAUGAUCAGCCACACUGGAACUGAGACACGGCCCAGACUCCUACGGGAGGCAGAAGUGGGGAAUAUUGGACAAUGGGCGAAAGCCUGAUCCAGCAAUGCCGCGUGAGUGAUGAAGGCCUUAGGGUUGUAAAGCUCUUUUACCCGGGAUGAUAAUGACAGUACCGGGAGAAUAAGCUCCGGCUAACUCCGUG